GACCACUCCCGACCUGGCUUCCCAUCACCUGCUGAGUUCGCAGUCCCGCAGCUACCGGUGCGGCUCCAGGUUGGAGACCCGCCGGCCCCAUUCCUCUCACCCCCUCAACCCACCCGGAGCUAACCUCAGUCCCCGACCCCCACCCCACCUGCUCAGUCCUCCCUAGGUUCCAGCUUCUGUCAACCUCUUUCAUUUCCCUAAAUACCGCCCCCCGCUGCAAUGCCUCGCCACCCUUGGCUGCCUCCUCUACCCCAGGGCUCCCAGCAAUGCCUGGGUCAGGCGCCUCCUUCACUUGCUGUGAGUCCCUUAUCACAACUGAUCACUCCGUGGGGUCACCGCUGCUCUGGCGUCUACCUCCCCCAACAGCUUGGGGUUUCUAGGAGGGCAGCUCCAGAGGUUGCAGAACACUGUGCUGCCUCUCCAGAGCCAGGCACACAGCAGGCGCUCCAUAAAUGUUCGUUGGAGAUGGAGUACUGCCAUGUUUCCCGUGCUGGUCUCGAACUCCUGGCCUCAAGUGAUGCUCCUGCGUCAGCCUCCCAAAGCACUGGGACUACAGGCAUGAGCCACUGUGCCUGGCUUAGCACCUGCAUUUUUUCUUUCCCUGGGACUCGCACUUUCUCUGCAGCCGCAGUUGUCUUCGGCUGCCCCACUGUGCAGUGUGGACACUGGAGUAUGUUUUCAGGCUUGAGGGGACCCUAGGAAGGGUCACUGGGCCUGACUGUCCAUGAGGUACUGUAGAAUUGCAUCAAGUUAUGGUGGCCAGAUUGAGCAAAUAAAAAUACAGGAUGCCAGGGAAAACUUGUUUCUCUCAUACAAUUUUAAAAAUUGACAUAUAAUUCACAUACCAUAAAAUUAACGCUUUUAAAGUGUGCAAUAAAUUCAGUGUUUUAAGCAUACUCACAGAGUUGUGUAACCAUCACCACGAUCUGAUUCCAGGACAGUUGUAUCAUCCCCAAAAGAAACCCUGUACCUAUUAGCAGCCAGUCCUCAUUCCCCCUCUCUCAGCCCCUGGCAACUACCAAUCUGCUUCCUGUUCUAUGAAUUUUCCUGUGCUGGAUAUUUCAUAAAAAUGAAAACAUAUAA